rnacentral:rRNA from 1 species
ACUCCUACGGGAGGCAGCAGUGGGGAAUAUUGCACAAUGGGGGAAACCCUGAUGCAGCCAUGCCGCGUGUGUGAAGAAGGCCUUCGGGUUGUAAAGCACUUUCAGUAGGGAGGAAGGUAGUNUAGUUAACAUACCUGCAUUAUUUGACGUUUACCUACAGAAGAAGCACCGGCUAACUCCGGUGCCAGCAGCCGCGGUAAUACGGAGGGUGCGAGCGUUAAUCGGAAUUACUGGGCGUAAAGCGCAUGCAGGCGGCCUGUUAAGUCAGAUGUGAAAGCCCGGGGCUUAACCUCGGAAUUGCAUUUGAAACUGGCAGGCUAGAGUCUUGUAGAGGGGGGUAGAAUUUCAGGUGUAGCGGUGAAAUGCGUAGAGAUCUGAAGGAAUACCAGUGGCGAAGGCGGCCCCCUGGACAAAGACUGACGCUCAGAUGCGAAAGCGUGGGGAGCAAACAGGAUUAGAUACCCUGGUAGGAUAG